AACAAUGGAUAGAUGGAUGUUUGUUAGUCUUUCACGCAAAAACUACUAAAUGGAUUUGAAUGAUAUUUAGUGUACAAGUAGGCUAUAUCCUAACGUAGCACAUAGGAUACUUUAUAUACUGAUUUAUGUAAACAAAGACACCGGAAAUAGCUAGUAAAUAAAUAACCUAAUAAUGGAACAUAUAUAUAGUUACUACAAUAAUAGAGAUCCUUAAAUGACUAACAACGGUAUUUUUAGCCGAAAAUUAUAAUCUAAAUAAGUAUUCAAGAAGGAUAAAGGAAAAACAAUAUAACUAUACAUAGAUAUGAUUAAAAUUUAUUUAUGUAUUAGCGUAAACAAUACAUACCUACAAAUACAGGUGAAGUAUCGAUAACCCAUCAUUUGUUGUUGUGUCUCAUACCGUGUAGGCUGUGAUCGAUAACCUGUCUCAUUACAGUUCUGAUGCAAAAAAUUAACGGAAUAUUUUCAAUUUUGAUUAUUGUAUCUAGUAAUUGUAAUUAUGUUGAUUUUUGAAAAAAAAGUUUAUGAUAAUGAUAAAUUAUUAUCAGAAAAUCGUAUUAUAUGAAGAUAAUAUCCCAUCCCUAACAACUAAUUCUAUAAUAAAGCUGUAAGAUAGUUUCCUUCUUGUGGUCUACUAUUCUUUCCUCUUUUAUAUAGCAAAAUUUUUCAUUACUUAUCAACUCACGACCCAAUCUUAAACGGAGAUCUCACUAUAAGAGGACGUAGCCACACCGUUACAGCGCUUGUUGGAUAAUUUAGUAUUUCAAACUUUCCUUGCAUUAGUGUAUUGCCCUUUUUCUCUUAAAACAGUGUUUUAGCACAUGCUGAAGAUGUAAAAAAUUGGUAAUGCAUCGGAUUCUUACUUUCUUAUUCAUUAUAAGGAACUAAAACAGAUAUUAUAACAAAACAAAACAUUUAUAUAACAGUUAAAAUAACUUUAAAGGAUGUUUCAUGGAUAAAAUGGAAUGAAAACUAAUGAUUACAUACCAUUAGACCUUAUCGAACAGUCUAUUAAGCUUGUUAUUAUAAAAUUACUCGUAAAUUAAGAAUAAAUAUUUAUAUACAUGAAAUAUACAGAAAAAUAUAAUGUUUAGAAAAGAUAAUAAGAUAACUUGAAGAUACUAUUAACAAAUGAAAUGUGAUACGUAAACGAUCAGAAACUUCAAUACCUAAAAUACCUACUUCAUAAACUUAUACGAGAUAUUUACAUAAAGUAAGUUGCAUUUUACAAAUAUACCUACAAAUUGCAAUGUAAACUUCAUUGCGAUAAAAGACUUUUCAAUAAAGGUCCAUUUAAAUUCUCGCCAACAGUGAAAUCUGCGGAUAAAAUGUUCAAUAAAUAAUUUUAUAUGAGUAUUUUGCAGGACCAUUCGCGCACGUGUAACGGUUAUGCAAGUUUAAUGGGUAUGACAAAGUUCAAUUAGAUUGCAGGAGAGCAAACAACUGUUCAUUCUCAUUCCAUUGUCCUCAAACGUAGCUCAGUGAAAUUGGCAACGGAUACAGAAGCGACGUUGGGCAUUUCCAUACCUACUAGAGGCCCUAGUUUGUUGAACCCAGAUACAAUUUCUAAGCGAGUUACAUAUUUUAAAAUUUUUAUAAAAGAUAUUAGAAUUGAUCAAAUUAUUUCACUAAUUUUAAAUAUAUAUUUUAUUAAGCUUACAAUUUGUAUAAAUAAAUUAUGUUUAUAGAUA